GGGAAAGUGGCUCAGUGGUAGAGCACUUGCCUUGCGUGCAUGAGGCCCUGGGUUCAAUUCCUCAGCACCA
rnacentral:tRNA from 1 species